UACGAAGGGGGCGAGCGUUGUUCGGAAUUACUGGGCGUAAAGCGUGCGCAGGCGGUUCGUUGUGUCGGUGGUGAAAGCCCCGGGCUCAACCUGGGAAUGGCCAUGGAAACUGGCGAACUGGAGUGUGGCAGAGGGGGGUGGAAUUCCGCGUGUAGCAGUGAAAUGCGUAGAGAUGCGGAGGAACACCGAUGGCGAAGGCAGCCCCCCUGGGCUAGCACUGACGCUCAGGCACGAAAGCGUGGGGAGCAAACAGG
rnacentral:rRNA from 1 species